rnacentral:rRNA from 1 species
AAUAGAUACCCAGGUAGUCCACGCCGUAAACGAUGAGUGCUAAGUGUUAGAGGGUUUCCGCCCUUUAGUGCUGCAGCUAACGCAUUAAGCACUCCGCCUGGGGAGUACGGCCGCAAGGCUGAAACUCAAAGGAAUUGACGGGGGCCCGCACAAGCGGUGGAGCAUGUGGUUUAAUUCGAAGCAACGCGAAGAACCUUACCAGGUCUUGACAUCCUCUGCCAACCCUAGAGAUAGGGCGUUCCCCUUCGGGGGACAGAGUGACAGGUGGUGCAUGGUUGUCGUCAGCUCGUGUCGUGAGAUGUUGGGUUAAGUCCCGCAACGAGCGCAACCCUUGAUCUUAGUUGCCAGCAUUCAGUUGGGCACUCUAAGGUGACUGCCGGUGACAAACCGGAGGAAGGUGGGGAUGACGUCAAAUCAUCAUGCCCCUUAUGACCUGGGCUACACACGUGCUACAAUGGAUGGUACAAAGAGCUGCGAACCCGUGAGGGUAAGCGAAUCUCAUAAAGCCAUUCUCAGUUCGGAUUGUAGG